rnacentral:rRNA from 1 species
GACGAACGCUGGCGGCGUGCUUAACACAUGCAAGUCGAACGGAAAGGCCCCUUUUGGGGUACUCGAGUGGCGCACGGGUGAGUAACACGUGAGUAACCUGCCCUUGACUUCGGGAUAACUUCAGGAAACUGGGGCUAAUACCGGAUAGGAAUCCUUGCUGCAUGGUGGGGGUUGGAAAGCUUCGGCGGUUUUGGAUGGACUCGCGGCUUAUCAGCUUGUUGGUGGGGUAGUGGCUUACCAAGGCUUUGACGGGUAGCCGGCCUGAGAGGGCGACCGGCCACAUUGGGACUGAGAUACGGCCCAGACUCCGACGGGAGGCAGAAGUGGGGAAUAUUGAACAAGGGGCGGAAGCCUGAUGCAGCAACGCCGCGUGCGGGAGGACGGCCUUCGGGUUGUAAACCGCUUUCAGCAGGGGCGAAGCUUGUGGUGACGGUACCUGCAGAAGAAGCACCGGCUAACUACGUG